rnacentral:rRNA from 1 species
CCCUUAGAUGUCCGGGGCCGCACGCGCGCUACACUGAAGGAAUCAGCGUGGAUGCCUCCCUGGUCCGAAAGGAUUGGGAAACCCGUUGAAUCUCCUUCGUGCUAGGGAUUGGGGCUUGUAAUUCUUCCCCAUGAACGAGGAAUUCCCAGUAAGCGCGAGUCAUAAGCUCGCGUUGAUUACGUCCCUGCCCUUUGUACACACCGCCCGUCGCUACUAUCGAUUGAGCGGUUCAGUGAGGGCCUCGGAUUGGUCUCGGUCUGGCGUGCAAGCGCCGGCACCGUUGGCCGAGAAGACGCUCGAACUUGAUCGUUUAGAGGAAGUAAAAGUCGUAACA